rnacentral:rRNA from 1 species
GAUGAACGCUGGCGGCGUGCCUAAUACAUGCAAGUCGAGCGAACAGACGAGGAGCUUGCUCCUCUGACGUUAGCGGCGGACGGGUGAGUAACACGUGGAUAACCUACCUAUAAGACGGGGAUAACUUCGGGAAACCGGAGCUACUACCGGAUAAUAUAUUGAACCGCAGGGUUCAAUAGUGAAAGACGGUUUUGCUGUCACUUAUAGAUGGAUCCGCGCCGCAUUGGCGAGUUGGUAAGGGAACGGCCUACCAAGGCAGCGAUGCGUGGCCGAGCUGAGAGGUUGAGCGGCCACACUGGAACUGAGCCCCGGCCCAGCCUCCUACGGGAGGCAGCAGUGGGGAAUCUUGGGCAAUGGGCGAAAGCCUGACCCAGCCCCGCCGCGUGGGUGAAGAAGGCCUUCGGGUUGUAAACCCCUUUUGUUGGGAAAGAAAAGCAGUAGAUUAAUAUCCCGCUGUUCUGACGGUACCCAAAGAAUAAGCACCGGCUAACUUCGUG